rnacentral:rRNA from 1 species
GACGAACGCUGGCGGCGUGCCUAACACAUGCAAGUCGAACGAAACCUUCGGGUCUAGGAGCGCGCGGGUUCGUGACGGGUGGGAAUCUGCGCGAGGGUUGGGCGUGACAGUUGGACACGGGUGCUAAUACCGGAUGAGGACGUAAGCCCAAAGAUUUAGCGCCCAAGACUGCGCCCGAGUAGGCUUAGCUAGUUGGAGAGGUGAAGGCUCACCACGGCGACGAUCCUUAGCUGGUCUGUGAGGCUGAUCGGCAACACUGGAAGUAAGACGCGGCCCAGACUCCUCCAGGAGGCAGGAGUGGGUGAUAGUGGAACGUGGGCGGAAUCCUGAUGCAGCUCUGACGCGUGAGCGAUGAAGGCGUUAGGGUUGUAAAGUGCUUUUAACCGGGAUGAUAAUGACAGUACCGGGAGAAUAAGCCCCGGCUAACUCCGUG